AACCAGCGCUGGGUGUGCCCGCGGGGGCCCCGGGAACAAAGGCGAGCCUGUGCUCGGCCGCCUGGGGCGCUGUCCCCACAGCUGUCCCCGGGGCCCUGGGCCGGCCGCCCCCGGGGGGCGUGGGGCCGGGCCGGGUGGGAUUUCCGGCGCCCCGGCGACAGCGCCCCCGGGCUACAGCGUCACCGCGCCGGGCGAGUCCAUGGGGACAGACCACGCCGUGGCAGGCCGGGGGCGGCUCGAGGGAUCCAUAAUUUACGGUGUUUUUCUUACCAGUCCGGUUUGGGAUUUCACAAGCGUUGCCUGUUUCCUUCCCAUUUGUUGCUUCUGUCCGUCCUGUUGGAGAAAACUGCUCUUCCCUCCCCAAGACAGCAGCGGUUACUGCGUUGAACUGAUGUGAUAAGAAAAAAAAAGCGGGUUCUGAUUUGAGGGACUGCUGAGGGGUGAAGGGAACACAGGUAUGGGGAGGGAUGCAAGGAGAGAUGCUUUGUCCACUGUGCACCUGAGACUAAUUUUAUGUAGAAAAAAUAGCCCUGUUUCAGACUCUUGUGCUGAGAGGUAGAGAGAAGAGAUCUUUCCCUGCCACGACCACCAAACAUCUGCUCAUUAAUAAAUCGACCUUUUGGUCCUCAGGUUUGUUUGUUUGUUUGUUCUUAGCACCCCAGGCCUGCAAAAACGAUGACUCUGGCAGCAGGAAGAAAAGGGGUUAGUCUCUGCUCCUUGCAGCCCCUGACCUCCACGGAUCCCUGGGACAGGCCUGCAUGGCUCAGGUGCUCCUAAUUUAGGGUGCAUUGAGGGACCCUUUGGCAAAAGAUGCUCCUGUCCCGAAAAUUCCUUAAAUUGCUGUAGUGAAUGGGAAAUGAUUUAUGGAUCUCAUCACGUUUUAGUGCAAUAGAUGGGUAAGUGAUAGACACAAAAAGGACCCCAGACUAAGCUGGGGGAAGUUUUCUUUCUUGUUACCUUUCCCUUUCUUUUUCUUUUUCUUGGAAAGAAAUUUAUUCUAGGCCUCUUCUUUUUUUGGACUGUGUUGCUAAGUGGAAUACAGAGGACAGAGCAACUGUUGCAAAUGUUUGCUGCAGCUGGAGGGUGAAGACUUGAAUGAGAAAAGAGCAGAGGUGGUCAGAUGCAUUCCGACUGCUGCAAGUGCCCAGAGGCCUGGAGAUGAGGACUGCUCCCACUCCACCUGCUGUCAGAGGAGAGACCAGCCCAGUGGCACAGGAACUUGUAAACAUGAACCCUCAGCAAGAGUAAACAGAUUAGUCUACGUCCUUUUAUCUGAAAAAUUUAUAUGAGCCUCCGGUGCGUGCCAGGCACUGUGCUGAGUGCUGGGGACACAGCAGCGAGCAAAACAUACAUCCUGCCUUUGUGGAGCUUUUAUAAUAUGUGGUACUUGGAAACUGCCAUCAACACUGAGGGUUGACUUUAGUGGAAACGGUUGUGCUGUCCUAACUUUUGAGAUAAGAAGGGUAUAUCCUUUUCUCCAUAGUCCAGCCUGCAAGACUGGAGCAUCACUGGAGAGUGUUUGAAUAAUUUCCACCCAAAUCUGGAACACUCCCCAUGCACAGAUGAAUGCCCCCAUGAGCAAAUUGCCUCCCUGGCCUGUCCAGAGUCACUGAGGCUGCUGGCAAAUGGGUCUUCAGAGCAAGUUUGAAGAUGGGGACAGACUUCUCUGGCGACCAUGCAACUGAGGGCAAUCACCCUAGAGAGAAGCAUUUAGAAGCUACAAAACCUGAAUGCCCUGCCAUACAUUAUUACACUGCAGAGUUAUUCAGAUUUAGUAAAUUAAAUAAUCUCAAAUACGUUGAUUUCAUGUCUUUAAAAAAGUCAUCUCUGUGGUGCCCAAUACUCAAUUUCCUUUAUUGUUAUUGUUCAUCAAGUAGAGUUUGUGUUUCUUAUGAAUCAAAAUCCUUGCCUGCCUCUCUGCCCAAAUUUGCUGGCGGCGGGCUAGGCUGAGCCGGUAGCUUGGUGCGCCAUCUGCCGGCUGAUUCGGGCACAGCGCGCCUGGAGCCCUCAGGACUCGGGAAGUUCCCUGAGCGGCGCUGACAAGCCAGUGUGGCCACAUUGCACACGUAAACAUCAGAGACACGGCGCUGUUCUCAGCGUGCUAACUGCUCCCUUGGGCUUUGUCAUUGUGGGUCAACUUGAAGUCGUGGGGACAACCCAGAGAGAUUUGCUUUUGAGGCUGGAGGAGUGUUUUCUGUUCUGGCUGCAAAACCAACGCGUUUAGUAUGGUGGUGUUCUGCCCCAUUCUUCGUUAUUAGAGGCCAGAUGAUCGAAUCAAACUGCUGUUUACCCGACGUAUCUGGGAAGCCAAGAGCUAUUCUCUGCUCAUGCAUAUUACUGUUUGAAGAGCACAGUGAAGUUCAGAGACAGUGGCUGCUGAUGCCAAAAGCAUGAUGUCCCGGAUAAAGACAAUGCAGAAUUUUGCCAAAGCGUUUUAUUUCCUGGGAAAUCUUUUCCCUUCAACACCUCUGAAAGAGUUGAAUUCUGGUGUGGUAGGGGCAACCAAUGGCAAGCCAGACGUUGUUUUAGAGGCUGGCUUAGAUUUACAUUAAAUUUAAUAGUUUAAUAGACUAAGUCUAGCAAAUAAAAUCAUUGAAUGAUGGCUGUUGGGGGUAUGUGUAGGAGGGAAAUUGCUUCAAAGCAGCAUUAAAAUAUUUCUAUUUCAAA